CAGUCUGACGACAGGAACAAGGUUUUAUCUCAACAUGGUGAUUCCCAUGGAAACGGCCAAAUGAAAGAUGACAUGCAGGGUCGUGCAGAGGCCACUAGUGAUGGGUCCAGCAACACCAACGCGCCGGCGCAUCUAUCCAGCCCAUAGACCAACACCCGUGUCGGUGCGCGUAUUGGUUUCAGCAAGUCACAUGACCAAUACAGGAACUGUGUCGAAAUGACACUGGAUGCCAAACUGUGUUUAUAAGGAAGCGAAUCUGUCAACGGGAUGCAUUUGCCAAAAGAAUUCGUGAUCUUUUUUGGUGCAGCGUCAACUAUGGAACAGCCUCCAAACAAACGAAAGUUUUCUGCUGUGUGGGAGCAUUUUGAUCUUACAUCGGAAGAUAAGGUAUUUAUUUUUCAUUUUGUCGUUUCUUCCGGUUCUUUUCAGCUUCUACUUGAUCUAUCUGAAUCCAAAUUCAGCUGAAAUUGACUCUUAGUUUACUUUCAUAUUAUGUUCUACAGGUUAGGUGUCGCAUAUGUUUGACAGAAUUGUCUUAUGUAAAUAAAUCCACCUCCUCAAUGCUGAGGCAUUAUAGGGCCAAACAUGAGAAUGAAGUCCCAGAUACACCUAGAAUAACUUCAGGUAUACAGCCAUUUUACAAAUUACUCAGUUGCUUUUAAUAAGUUAUUUAAUCUAAAUGUAUUGUUUACUUCAUUUUUAACCAUGAAGCUUCUAGGAAGCAAAUGCUGGAUGAGGCUCUACUGAAUUUCAUAGUGAUGGUUUGCCAGCCUCUCAGUAUUGUGGAGAGUGAAGAGUUUCAGGAACUGGUUCAAGCCCUUAAACCUUCAUAUGGUUUGCCAACCAGAAAGACCAUCAAACAAAUGCUGGCCACAAAGUUUGAGGAGGAACAGGAACGAGUGAAAAUGGAAGUACAGCAAGCUGUGGCAAUAACCUUUGGCACCAUCUUGACACCGAAGUAGGCAAGCAGACCAAAAGUGCCACAGCUGAUGCCAUCCAGGAGGUGCAACGAUAUCUUGCAGAGGGGAAUAUUGCCAGAUGUCAGGAUCCAAUGUCAUACUGGCAGAACCACAAGACCAUUCAUCCUAACCUCUUCCAGUUGUCAUUGCAAUACCUUUGCACUCCAGCCUCAUCUGUGCCAUGUGAGAGGGUGUUUUCCACCGCAGGAGAAGUUGUGUCAAAAAAGCGUAAUAGACUGAAUUUCAAAACGUUGGAAAAACUUAUUUUUUUGAAUAAAAAUGUGUGAAAAAACUCCAGUCCACGAGCAUCCUCAUUCCAAACACAUUCACUUAAAUUUUCACUUUAUUGUACAUAUUCACAUUAUUUAUGGACUCUAUCCAAGAAUAACAAAUAUUUUAAAUUUCACUUAUGAAAUAAUACAAUGUAUAAUAAAAUCCAAUGACUUCAAUCUUCAUCCAUCCAUCCAUUUUCU